AGGAUGAACGCUGGCGGCGUGCCUAAUACAUGCAAGUCGAGCGGUAAGGCCUCUUCGGAGGUACACGAGCGGCGGACGGCUGAGUAACACGUAGGAACGUACCCCAAACUGAGGGAUAAGCACCAGAAAUGGUGUCUAAUACCGCAUGUGCUCUAAGGAGUAAAGCUUCGGCGGUUUGGGAGCGGCCUGCGCAUGAUUAGCUUGUUGGUGAGGUAAAAGCUCACCAAGGCGACGAUCAUUAGCUGGUCUGAGAGGAUGAUCAGCCAGACUGGGACUGAGAACGGCCCAGACUCCUACGGGAGGCAGCAGUAGGGAAUUUUCCACAAUGGGGG
rnacentral:rRNA from 1 species